GUUAUGAUAGGUCUAUGGUACAGUUUCCGGCAACACAACAACAGCCCGAAGGUAUCAAAACACGGCAAGUUAUAUGGACGAGAACACAUCGGUGGCGGCCCGUGGCCUGGCAAUGUAGGCGCUGCACAUUGGAGGAUACUUCAGAAGGGGAGCUUCUCAAGCAUUAUCAAGUCAAGCACAGUAUUUAUGGUUGUGGCUGAGCUGAACCAAAACCAACUAAUCACCAAUUAAAGAAGAGAGACAGCCCAGUCAUUAAGGACUUCAUGUGCAGAAUUUUUUGCACAUAGAGGAACAUACGACAUACAAAUGAGCAUCAGUGACAUGAAGCACAGGUGGCCUACCUUGUUUAAUGUCUCACAGGUGAGUAUUUGGAUCUUUUGUGUUAAACACAUUAAGGACUGUAAACAACUACUGUAUGUUUCACAGUUAUACUUAAGUAUGCACUUCACUUUUUGUUGUCACUGGUUCUUUUGUCUCUUCUUUCAUAUCCCUCUUUCAGGAGAGGAAGGUGCCAGAAGGGAGGUGAAAGGACACCAAAACUGAUGUCCUUGUUUCCAGCAAGGAAAAGCGAUGUCAGAGCAACAAUUCAAGCACAGACGAACAUUCUACUUCAGAUGGAAUCCAACGUGAGCAGACAAGGGACGUUGUCAUCCGAUUCCUUAUUGACUAUCUUGCUGAACAUGCUAGUGCCCUUUUCAAGGACUUUGAGGAUGCUGGGGAUGGAUCAACCAGCAUUCAAGAGCAGAUGGCAGAUGAAGUGAUGGCGAUUUACCUGUUGCGGAAAGAUGGGUCAGUUGAUGUCGGCAUAGUGAUUGAGGGCAGCACUAUCCUCUGCACUCUUAAGGAUCUUAAGAGGUGGCGGCCCGUGGCCUGGCAAUGUAGGCGCUGCACAUUGGAGGAUACUUCAGAAGGGGAGCUUCUCAAGCAUUACCAAGUCAAGCACAGUAUUUAUGGAUGUGGCUGAGCUGAACCAAAACCAACUAAUCACCAAUUAAAGAAGAGAGACAGCCCAGUCAUUAAGGACUUGAUGUGGAGAACUUUUGCACAUAGAGGAACAUACGACAUACAAAUGAGCAUCAGUGACAUGAAGCACAGGUGGCCUACCUUGUUUAAUGUCUCACAGGUGAGUAUUUGGAUCUUUUGUGUUAAACACAUUAUGGACUGUAAACAACUACUGUAUGUUUCACAGUUAUACUUAAGUAUGCACUUCACUUUUUGUUGUCACUGGUUCUUUUGUCUCUUCUUUCAUAUCUCUCUUUCAGGAGAGGAAGGUGCCAGAAGGGAGGUGAAAGGACACCAAAACUGAUGUCCUUGUUUCCAGCAAGGAAAAGCGAUGUCAGAGCAACAAUUCAAGCACAGAUGUGAUGAGCAGACACAGCAACAGCCACAAUAGCCACAAUCUUACAUACAGCCCCCUAAGUGUAGAAGUUCAUGUGUUGAUGUUUCCAUAAGUGUCAGAAUGUCAUCAAAAUGUCCUUCUUUGUGCAUUUGAGCCACAUGCUGCAUCCAUUUCAGCCAUAUACUCAUAUGCUCAUGUUGAUGUACCCUGAGGUUAUAUAUUUCAAAUAGAGAUUUCUCAGACUCUGUUAGUAGAUAUAUUAUAUUUUAUAUUUUUGUCAAAAAAAAUUUCAUGGUUUGUUUCAUAUAUUAUAUAUUAUAUACAACAAGAGGUUCCCGCACACUGUGUGGCUCUCAUUCAUUACUUUAGUUAGGUAACGUUUCGGUCCGUUGGACCUUCAUCAGACAUAUUAGGUCUAGCAUACUAGGUCUACCUUCAUCAGACAUAUUAAGUCUAGCAUACUAGGGCUACCUUCAUCAGACAUAUUAGGUCUAGCUAAUAUUUCUGAUGAAGGUCAAACGGACUGAAACAUUACCUAAAUAAACUAAUGAAUGAGAGCAACACAGUGUGCAGGAACCUCUUUUUGAACACUUUGUUGGCUACACCUGCUUCCUACGCACCUGUGUAUCUUCAGGUGUGCUGAAACUCUGCAUUCACUCUUGUUUCAUAUAUUGACAGGAAGUACUGAAGUAGAUUAAAGAGAAAAUACAUUUUAGAUACUCUUUUUUAUAUAUUUUCUAUAUUUGAUAGUCCAUUAUGACAUUAAAGACAUCAAGUAAAUAUUGCAUAUUUGUUUUGUUCAACAAUAAUCUCAUUUUCUACUUGCUGAAAUUGUAGUUUUGGAACACCAUU